GCCAGCUCUCUGGGGCCCUCUGCUUCCUGCCCUCACAGCCCUGCGCCUCCGGGCCUCCCUUCAGCCCCCACAGCUCCCUUCUAGCCCCAGUGAAACCCUUGUCUCUCUCCUCCUGCAGACCAUGGCGGACAGAUCAGUCCUGGCUGUGAUUCUGCUGCUCAUCUUCCCAUUCCCACUUGCCUUGGUGGACAGAUUUUAUGGGGAUGUGCAGCACACUGCCGAGGAGCUGAAACCGGCUCCCCCAGAGCCACCUCAGCCUGGCUGGGGAGCCUGGCUCCUGGCUGCCUUGCAGCAGCUGCAGCAAUUCUGGGCAAUUGCUCACACGCUGUUCCUGCCUUUGGCCUGGUGGCUCAGGCGCAGAAGGGCGGCCAUGAGGCAGAGAGCAGCGGCCCAGAGAGCUGCAGAGGAGGCCAGAAGGAGGAGGAUGAGAAUCGAGCGAAGAAGGUGGCUCCUUAAGAAGAGACAAAAAGAGAUGGAGCAAAUGCGCAGGGCCUUGAGACAACUGCAAAAGCAAAUGGCCAGGCUGAUUCAAAUGAAUAGGGAAACAAACAGCAUGGUCAAGAAGAUUUGCAUUUGCUCGCGGACAGAGACAUUUGAAGGAGGAGCCAGCCAAAUGCCAGGAGAUUGAUUCAAAUUGUAGGCCUUGCAUUUGCUCGGGGAUGGUGGCGUUUGAAGGAAGAUCGGGCCAAAUGACUGAUACCUAUUUUUAAAUAGCUUAGAAAUAGUUUCAGUAUUGUAAACAUUUACUAAACAUUUAGUAAAAUAACUAGAUUUAGCACUGUUUUCCUAAUUUUCAUAAUUUUAAGGCAGAAUAAUACUCCAGUAAAAUAUCAUUAUAAUGGUAAUAAUAAGUAAUAGUUAGGUACCUAAAUGUAUUAUUUACUUUAUAGAUUAACUGUUAUUCAGCAAAAUUAAUAGGAAUUAUGCUAAUUAAUUACAAUAGAAGUAUGAUAAAUCUUUAUCUUAAAUAGUGAAUUUUACAUAAUCUGCAUGAAAAAAUAAUUAUUUUUUACAUUAUUAAUAUUAAUAUAUAACCAUAUACAGAUUGCAGUUAGAUAAUUUUGACGAUAUUCAAAAUUCGUUAAUUUCAAUGUUUAAAACAUGUUAUUGUGACCUGAUAAUGAUGCUGACAGCCCUCCUCUCUAGGGAGUGUCAUCCCUCUGGGAGCUGCAGUCAGUGUAAAGAUCCAAUAAAGGCAAUGCCUGAACAAACA